GAUGAACGCUGGCGGCGUGCCUAAUACAUGCAAGUCGAGCGAACGGACGAGAAGCUUGCUUUUCUGAUGUUAGCGGCGGACGGGUGAGUAACACGUGGAUAACCUACCUAUAAGACUGGGAUAACUUCGGGAAACCGGAGCUAAUACCGGAUAAUAUUUUGAACCGCAUGGUUCAAAAGUGAAAGACGGUCUUGCUGUCACUUAUAGAUGGAUCCGCGCUGCAUUAGCUAGUUGGUAAGGUAACGGCUUACCAAGGCAACGAUGCAUAGCCGACCUGAGAGGGUGAUCGGCCACACUGGAACUGAGACACGGUCCAGACUCCUACGGGAGGCAGCAGUAGGGAAUCUUCCGCAAUGGGCGAAAGCCUGACGGAGCAACGCCGCGUGAGUGAUGAAGGUCUUCGGAUCGUAAAACUCUGUUAUUAGGGAAGAACGUAUGUGUAAGUAACUGUGCACAUCUUGACGGUACCUAAUCAGAAAGCCACGGCUAACUACGUGCCAGCAGCCGCGGUAAUACGUAGGUGGCAAGCGUUAUCCGGAAUUAUUGGGCGUAAAGCGCGCGUAGGCGGUUUUUUAAGUCUGAUGUGAAAGCCCACGGCUCAACCGUGGAGGGUCAUUGGAAACUGGAAAACUUGAGUGCAGAAGAGGAAAGUGGAAUUCCAUGUGUAGCGGUGAAAUGCGCAGAGAUGUGGAGGAACACCAGUGGCGAAGGCGACUUUCUGGUCUGUAACUGACGCUGAUGUGCGAAAGCGUGGGGAUCAAACAGGAUUAGAUACCCUGGUAGUCCACGCCGUAAACGAUGAGUGCUAAGUGUUAGGGGGUUUCCGCCCCUUAGUGCUGCAGCUAACGCAUUAAGCACUCCGCCUGGGGAGUACGACCGCAAGGUUGAAACUCAAAGGAAUUGACGGGGGCCCGCACAAGCGGUGGAGCAUGUGGUUUAAUUCGAAGCAACGCGAAGAACCUUACCAAAUCUUGACAUCCUUUGACAACUCUAGAGAUAGAGCCUUCCCCUUCGGGGGACAAAGUGACAGGUGGUGCAUGGUUGUCGUCAGCUCGUGUCGUGAGAUGUUGGGUUAAGUCCCGCAACGAGCGCAACCCUUAAGCUUAGUUGCCAUCAUUAAGUUGGGCACUCUAAGUUGACUGCCGGUGACAAACCGGAGGAAGGUGGGGAUGACGUCAAAUCAUCAUGCCCCUUAUGAUUUGGGCUACACACGUGCUACAAUGGACAAUACAAAGGGCAGCGAAACCGCGAGGUCAAGCAAAUCCCAUAAAGUUGUUCUCAGUUCGGAUUGUAGUCUGCAACUCGACUACAUGAAGCUGGAAUCGCUAGUAAUCGUAGAUCAGCAUGCUACGGUGAAUACGUUCCCGGGUCU
rnacentral:rRNA from 1 species